rnacentral:rRNA from 1 species
UACAGAGGGUGCGAGCGUUGUCCGGAAUCACUGGGCGUAAAGGGCGCGUAGGUGGUUGGAUAAGCGUGUGGUGAAAGCCCGGGGCUCAACCUGGGAACUGCAAUGGAAACUGGCGGGCUUGAAUGCGGCAGAGGGGGGUGGAAUUCCGCGUGUAGCAGUGAAAUGCGUAGAUAUCGUGAGGAAGACCAGUGGCGAAGGCGGAUCUCUGGACAGUUCCUGACGCUGAGGCGCGAAGGCCAGGGGAGCAAACGGG